CUCAGCUUCCCUGCGCGAAGAGAGCUCUGGUUUUUCCAAGUACGCACGGUGGCUGCUUCAUCUGAGGGAGCGACUCCUCCUGCCGUGCCCAGACGCGUCCUGAACAACCUGCGCUCUCGGGGUGGAUUUUUUUUUUUGAAAUAUUCAAGAACCCGGCAGAGGAGCUUAUGAACCGCUCCUCACUGGACCCACCGCAGGGACGCACGUUAUUUAACGCCAAAAUCGGGGAUUAUUGCUUGUUUUAACCAUGAAGAUGUGAGGGUUUUUAAGCCGUGAAGAAAGAAAAAAAGAACUCCGAGGCUGGCAAAGGUAUAAGUGAGCAAGUAACAAGGAGCAGCAGCAGCAGCAGCAGCAGCAGCAGCA